rnacentral:rRNA from 1 species
AUUGAACGCUGGCGGCAGGCCUAACACAUGCAAGUCGAACGGUAACAGUCAGCAGCUUGCUGCUUUGCUGACGAUUGGCGGACGGGUUCUGCAUGUCUGGUAAACUGCCUGAUGGAGGGGGAUAACUACUGGAAACGGUAGCUACUACCUCAUAACGUCGCAAGCCCAAAGUGGGGGACCUUCGGGCCUCUUGCCAUCGGAUGUGCCCAGAUGGGAUUAGCUUGUUGGUGGGGUAACGGCUCACCAAGGCGACGAUCCCUAGCUGUUCUGAGCGGCUGAACAGACACACUGGAACUGAGAAACGGUACAGACUCCUACGGGAGGCAGCAGUGGGGAAUAUUGCACAAUGGGCGCAAGCCUGAUGCAGCCAAGCCGCGUGUAUGAAGAAGGACUUCGGGUUGUAAAGUACUUUCAGCGGGGAGGAAGGGAGGAAAGUUAAUACCUGUACUCAUUGACGUUACCCGCAGAAGAAGCACCGGCUAACUCCGUG